CCCUUAGAUGUUCUGGGAUGCACGCGCGCUACACUGAAGCUAUCAACACGUUUUCCCUCCCUGAGAAGGGCGGGUAACCUUUUGAAUCAGCUUCGUGGUAGGGAUCGGGGCUUGCAAUUGUUCCCCGUGAACCAGGAAUUCCUAGUAGACGCGAGUCAUAAGCUCGCAUCGAUUAAGUCCCUGCCCUUUGUACACACCGCCCGUCGCUACUACCGAUUGAACGUUUUAGUGAGGCAUUUGGACCGACGCAUCUCAGUUUAACCGCUGGUUUGUGUUGGAAAGACUUCCAAACUUGAGCGUUUAGAGGAAGUAAAAGUCGUAACA
rnacentral:rRNA from 1 species